rfam:Corynebacterium sp. HMSC08D02 Corynebacterium_spHMPREF3170-1.0_Cont8.1, whole genome shotgun sequence.
CUGUCCCGUGGUAGAAGAUGUGCGACGGAGUCCGCCACGGAGACAGCUUGUUGGAGACGUCCAUCGCACCGCACAUUAAGUGCGGCCCGAGAACGGGAGAGAACGCUGAGCGUUACAAC